UGCCGGAUUGUGUAAGGGUAGCACUACUGACUCUGGAUCAGUCUGUCUGGGUUCAAAUCCUAGUCCGGCAGCCA
rnacentral:tRNA from 1 species